rnacentral:rRNA from 1 species
CAGCUAAGGUCCCAAAGUGCGUGUUAAGUGGAAAAGGAUGUGGGAUUUCGAAGACAACUAGGAUGUUGGCUCAGAAGCAGCCAUACAUUCAAAGAGUGCGUAACAGCUCACUAGUCGAGAGUUCCUGCGCCGAAAAUGUCCGGGGCUGAAACACGACACCGAAGCCGUGGACUCGCAAUGCGAGUGGUAGAGGAGCAUUCUUAAAACCGACGAAGCUGUACCGGAAGGAGCAGUGGAGGGAUAAGAAGAGAGAAUGCCGGAAUGAGUAGCGAGAGAAAGGUGGGAAUCCUUUCGGCCGAAUAUCUAAGGUUUCCAGAGUAAAGCUGAUCUGCUCUGGGUAAGUCGGGGCCUAAGCACAGGUCGCAAGACGUAAGCGAUGGAUAACAGGUUUAGAUUCCUGUACCACGCAUUAUCAGAACUGUAGGGACGCAUGUGGAAAGCACGGGCCGGGAAUGGAAAGACCGGUACAAGCGGGGUAGGUGUACAACAGGCAAAUCCGUUGUAUAAUCCGAAGACGUGAUGUGGAGCGAAAUAAAGUAGUGAAGCGUGUGAGCCAUGUGCCGAGAAAAGCUGCUAUUGUGUAAUGCGUGCCCGUACCGUAAACCGACACAGGUGGAUGAGGAGAGAAUCCUAAGGCCGACGGAAGAAGCAUUGUUAAGGAACUCGGCAAAAUGACCCCGUAACUUCGGGAGAAGGGGUGCCUGCGAGAGCAGGCCGCAGAGAAUAGGCUCAAGCAACUGUUUAGCAAAAACACAGGUCUAUGCGAAACCGAAAGGUGAGGUAUAUGGGCUGACGCCUGCCCGGUGCUGGAAGGUUAAGAGGAGAGGUCAGGAAACGAAGCCUUGAAUUGAAGCCCCAGUAAACGGCGGCCGUAACUAUAACGGUCCUAAGGUAGCGAAAUUCCUUGUCGGGUAAGUUCCGACCCGCACGAAAGGCGUAAUGAUUUGAGCACUGUCUCGACAAUGCAUCCGGUGAAAUUGAAGUACCAGUGAAGAUGCUGGUUACCUGCGCCAGGACGGAAAGACCCCAUGGAGCUUUACUCCAGCUUGAUACUGGGAUUCGAUACUGUAUGUACAGGAUAGGUGGGAGACGUUGAGCAUAGAACGCCAGUUUUAUGUGAGUCGCUGUUGGGAUACCACCCUUGCAGUAUUGGAUUUCUAACCUGCACCCAUGACCUGGGUGGGGGACAAUGUCUGGCGGGGAGUUUGACUGGGGCGGUCGCCUCCGAAAGGGUAUCGGAGGCGCUCAAAGGUUCCCUCAGAAUGGUUGGAAACCAUUCGAAGAGUGCAAAGGCAGAAGGGAGCUUGACUGUGACACCGACGGGUGGAGCAGGUACGAAAGUAGGACUUAGUGAUCCGGUGGUAUAAAGUGGGAUUGCCAUCGCUCAACGGAUAAAAGCUACCCUGGGGAUAACAGGC